CCCUUAGAUGUCCUGGGCCGCACGCGUGCUACACUGACGCCUACAGCGAGUACUUCCCAGCCCCGAGAGGCGGCUGGUAAUCAGCAAUAGGCGUCGUGAUGGGGAUAGAACUUUGGAAUUAUUGUUCUUGAACGAGGAAUGCCUAGUAAGCGCACGUCAUUAGCGUGCGCUGAUUAAGUCCCUGCCCUUUGUACACACCGCCCGUCGCUCCUACCGAUUUCGAGUGGUUCGGUGAACCUUUCGGACCGGCAAUGCCUCGUGUUGCGCCGGAAAGUCAAGUAAACCAUAUCACUUAGAGGAAGGAGAAGUCGUAACA
rnacentral:rRNA from 1 species